UUCUUUCCUCCCGAGUGCUUGCACUCAAUUGGAAAGAGGAGUGGCGGACGGGUGAGUAACACGUGGGUAACCUACCCAUCAGAGGGGGAUAACACUUGGAAACAGGUGCUAAUACCGCAUAACAGUUUAUGCCGCAUGGCAUAAGAGUAAAAGGCGCUUUCGGGUGUCGCUGAUGGAUGGACCCGCGGUGCAUUAGCUAGUUGGUGAGGUAACGGCUCACCAAGGCCACGAUGCAUAGCCAACCUGAGAGGGUGAUCGGCCACACUGGGACUGAGACACGGCCCAGACUCCUACGGGAGGCAGCAGUAGGGAAUCUUCGGCAAUGGACGAAAGUCUGACCGAGCAACGCCGCGUGAGUGAAGAAGGUUUUCGGAUCGUAAAACUCUGUUGUUAGAGAAGAACAAGGACGUUAGUAACUGAACGUCCCCUGACGGUAUCUAACCAGAAAGUCACGGCUAACUACGUGCCAGCAGCCGCGGUAAUACGUAGGUGGCAAGCGUUGUCCGGAUUUAUUGGGCGUAAAGCGAGCGCAGGCGGUUUCUUAAGUCUGAUGUGAAAGCCCCCGGCUCAACCGGGGAGGGUCAUUGGAAACUGGGAGACUUGAGUGCAGAAGAGGAGAGUGGAAUUCCAUGUGUCGCGGUGAAAUGCGUAGAUAUAUGGAGGAACACCA
rnacentral:rRNA from 1 species